AGGGUCUAGGAUGCGUUGUUGGGCCCAUGAAAUAUAACCCGAUCCAAUUGGCAUUGCAUUGUUUAUACGCGACCCAAAUUUAUUAAACCCUAAUUAGUAGCUAUAAUUGUCUAUUGUUUCGUUCUUUUAUAUUCGCUUUGUGUCUGCGUUCAGUUUCGGGAUAAGAAUUCAGCAAGUUGUUCAGACAAUUUCUUUUUCAACACAGUAAAAUCUAUUUUGCUAUCUGAAUUUCAAUUUAUGAAAACCAUUUACAUGCAUACGUGAUCUUGGUUUGUUUCGGUUUCUUGGAUUAUAGUAUAGAGGGAAAAGAAAAGCGAAGUGAUGAUAGAAACUCAUUCGUCUGUCAAUCCGCUGAUCUUCUAUGGUGUAAUUCAUGAAUCCCGACAGGUUCUGAUCGCUUUCAUGUUUCUCUCUCUUGUUUGAUUUCUUGAUUUCUUAAGUUUCUCGAUUUGUUGAAUCAAUUAUUUAGGGUUUUUGAAUUGUUAUCAGAAUUGGGCAAAUGAUGAAUCUGAAAUUGUGUAAAUGGGUAAUUUACAUCUGAAUAUGGUUGAUGUAAAUAUCACCUUGGAUAACUUAUGCCCUAAAUUCUAUGGAUUUUUAUGUUUCUUAGUUUGUUUCUGUGUUUAGCAUUAAAAUUAUCAUCGUACUAGAAUGAAUUGUUCAUUGCUACAUGGAUGGAUCACUUGAUUUAUGAUUGAAUUAUAUUAUUAUUGUCCCUUCAUUGGCACUAAUGCCUUUGUCAUAGUUGAAUUUAGAAAGGAGGUAAUAGAAAUGUUGGUUGUGAUUGCAAGAGAUCUAAGAAUCCUAUAGUUGAAUAACAUAAAUUUCGAGUUUAUUAAGUAGUUUUGGGAAAGCGUAAUUUCACAUAUUCAUUGCUGAAUUUCAUUUUAAUGGCAAAAUAGUGUGUUGAGUUAAUAAUGCUUUUUUAGCAUUCAUUCCUUAGAUUGAGAAUUCUGUGGCGUUAAAACAUUCCAAUGUCAAAAUAGUGUGUUGAGCUAAUAAUGUGUUAUUAGCAUUGAUUUCAAAGAUUGAGAAUUCAGUGACGCUAAACUAAUCUAAUGGCAAAAUAGUGUGUUGAGCUAAUAAUGUGUUUUUAGCAUUGAUUUCAAAGAUUGAGAAUUCAGUGACGCUAAACUAUUCUAAUGGCAAAAUAGUGUGUAGAGCUAAUAAUGCUUUUUUCGCAUUGAUUCAAAACAUUGAGAAUUUGGUGACGCUAAACUAUUCUAAUGGCAAAAUAAUGUGUAGAGCUAAUAAUGCUUUUUUAGCAUUGAUUCCAAAGAUUCAGAAUUUUGUGGCGCUAAACUAUUCUAUUGGGAAAAUAGUGUGUAGAGCUUAUAAUGCGUUUUUAUCAUUUGAUUCCAAAGAUUGAGAAUUCGGUGACGCUAAACUAUUCUAGUGGCAAGAUUGAGAAUUCGGUGACGCUAAACUAUUCUAGUGGCAAGAUUGAGAAUUCGGUGACGCUAAACUAUUCUAAUGGAAAAACAGUGUGGAGCUAAUAAUGCUUUUUUUAGCAUUGAUUCCAAAGAUUGAGAAUUCGGUGACCCUAGACUAUUCUAAUGGCAAAAUAGUGUGUAGAGCUGAUAAUGUUUUUUUUAGCAUUGAUUCAAUAGAUUGAGAAUUCGGCGACGCUAAACAAUUCUAAUGGCAAAAUAGUGUGUAGAGCUAAUAAUGCGUUUUUAGCAUUGAUUCCAAAGAUUGAGAAUUUGUUGAAGCUAAACUAAUUUACGUCGAUAUCUUUAAUUGGCAGCAUGUGGCUAAAAAGUUAUCUUUGCUUAGAAUUUGAGGUCUUAAAGGGCGACAUAUGGUAGAUUGGAUACUCAUAGCAAAUGUGUUAGUAAAUGAUGUUCAUAGUGGAUUUAAAAAAAUUAAAUGAUUUUGUGGACUGAAAAUAUUUGGACUUUGACAGGAUUUAACGUUAAAUGGAGAUGCUGGAUUUAACAUAAAAGUCUUUUAGUUUGAGUCAGAUGAAUCAGCAAAUCAAAUUUUAAGGUUGGAAAUACUUGGAUGUUUCUGAUGUUGUAAUCAUAGAAGAAAGAAGUUAUUGAAAUUGGUGAUUAAUAUAGUGUCAGGAAGAUUGUCCAAGUGGAAUAAUUAGUGCUUAUCUACAUGUGGCCGAAUCUUCCUUCUAAACUUUUUUAUACGCAUUACCGGUCUAUUUCAUUUCUUUCUUUAAAGCUCUGUUAGAUAUUAUUUAUAAUUUGAUUUUCUCUUUAAGAAUUUCUUGUGGGUUGGAAGAUUGGAAAGCAUAAAAAUAAGUUGGUUCAUUGGAAAAAGGUAUGCUAGGAAAGAGAGGAAGGGGGAUCUAGGUAUACAAAAUUCAACGGUGUUCAACCUAACUCUAUUAGGAAACUGUGUGGGUUAAGGUUUUAAAAAGUAAACAUGGUGAAAUCUUUGGUAAAGUGAGUAAAAUUGAGAGAAUGGGGUCAGCUUGGUGGCAGGACAUAAAAAUGGUAGAAAGUGGGUCGUGGGACUUUAAAUUACAUUGGUUCUUUGAAAGGUUGUGCAGGAAGUGGAGUUGAAUCACAUUUUUGGACUCCUUGGAUAAAAGGAAUAAUCUUGAAAAAUAGGGGUUAGUGGUACUGUUUGAUUUAUGAUCGAGAACAAAAAGGCUUCAUUUAAGGCAUUGGUGAUUCAUUUGACCGAGAAUGUAGAAUUAUUCAUUUCAUUUGACUUGUUUUCUUGUAAAAUCAUGUGGUAAUUGUAUUUUAAGGUUACACGCGAUUAUAGUUGCCUGAUGUUGCAGAGUUGACAAGUGAUAAUACAUAGAGGGAAAAGAAAAGCGAUAUGAUGAUAGAAAUUCAUUUGUCUGUCAAUCCACUGAUAUUCUUUGAUGUAAUUCAUGAAUCCCGACAGGUUCUGAUCGCUUUCAUAUUUCCCUCUUGUGCUUGAUUUGUUUAUUUCUUGAGUUUCUCAAUUUUACGAUGUAACUUUAUCAAUUAUUUUUGGUUUUUGAAUUGUUAUCACAAUUCUGCAUAACUGAUAGAUUUCAUGUUAAUUUGCAAAAGAUUCACACGGUCUAAAUUAGAUGUGGCUGGACAAUGAGUUGUAUUGACAGAUUCAUAUUUUCAAAGGGAUGGUUAGUCAAAUGCCCAGAAUGUUUUCAAUGGUGUUUGGAUAAAACUAGUCACUGUCCAAUUCUAGUUCUCGAGAAAAGGAGGAAUUGUGCAUCAAAACGUUUUUGUGUACUCAAAUGUUUGAGUGAGUUGAAGUUCAGGGAUGGCGGCUUUCAUAUUGAAAGAAAGCGACUUGGAAAAAAACUUAGAAAAGUGGAUGCAAAUUCAAAGUUGUUUCUCGGGUGCCUGGUAAAUAGAAGAAACGUUAAUAAGAUUAAUUUUAUUAAAUAGAUUGGGGUUCAAGAGAUAAAGGGUGAAGUUUUCAAUUAUUUUCCAAGUUUAUUUAGAAAGCAAAAGAGAGAAAGACUGGUUUUGCAAAAUUUUGAAUUUAAACACAUUAGAGAUGAUAAGUUUAGAGAGGAGGAAAUAAGAAAUGUUGUUUGAAAUUGCGAGAGUUCGAAGAGCCCUGACUCAAAUAGCAUAAAUUUUGGGUUUAUUAAGGAGUUUUAACAUGUAAUUAAAGCGGACUUUUAUAGUCUCAUUGUUGAAUCUCAUUCGAUUGGUAAAAUAGUGCAUGGAGCUAAAUAAUGGUUUUUAGCAUUAAUUACCAAGAUUAAGUAUUCGGUUAAGCUAGGCGGUUUUACGUCGAUAUCUUUAAUUGGCAGAAUGUAGAAAGUCUUAGCAAAGCUAUAGGCAAAUAAAUUGAAGGUGGCGGCUAAAUUUGUUUAUCUCUAAUUUGCAAUUCGUGUUCUUAGAAUCCUGGCAAAUCAUAGAUGGAAUAUUCAUAGCAAAUCAGUUAGUAGAUGAUGCAAAUAGGAGGAAGAAGCGUUGAUGUUUAAAGUUGAUUUGGACUGAAAAUAAUUGGACCAUGUGAUGGAAAAAAUGGGAUUCAACGUUAAAUGGAGAGGUUCGAUUUCAGAGUAUCUUAGUGUUGGUAGGAGAACAUAAUGCUGAUGUGAAUGUAUUUCUGGGAAGCGACGUGAGCUCGUGCCUAAACAUGAGACUGAUGACUCUGGAAUGGAUGAGGAUAGUGACAGCGAGGAGGAUAGUGAUGAUGAAGAAGAUGGUGGUGCCACGGGUCCGGCUUUGCAGGCAAAGUCCUCUUCGUCUGUAUUCGUAUUAUUUCAUUUCUUGAAUGUCGUGAAGUUGAUCUUACUGACACUUUUUGUUCUGUACAAACUUCAGUUGCGGAAGGUAGCUCACGAAGGCUGUAUCAACCGGAUACGCUCCAUGGCACAAAAUCCCCAUAUAUGUGCAUCUUGGGCAGAAUCUGGUCAUGUACUGAUCUGGGACAUGAGCUCCCAUCUCUAUGCUCUAGCAGAAACAGAAACGGAAGAUGUCCAAGGAGUUGAUGUAGUUUAGUCUCCACUACAAAAAUUUAAGCACGGCGAUGAAGGUUAUGCUAUAGACUGGAAUCCUCUUGUUCCAGGAAGGCUUAUAUCUGGUAACCGUCAGGUUUAUAUUUUUCUCUAGCAUACAUUCAUAUUUAGUUAUCAAAUAGAGAUUUGAGGCUUUAUGUUGGUUGAUCUUCAUGCUUGAAGGGGGUUGCAAUAAUAGUAUUUAUCUUUGGGAGCCUACAUCUGCUGCGACAUGGAAUAUUGACCAAACUCCUUUUACUGGACAUACUGGUAGUGUUGAAGAUCUGCAAGUAUGUAUUCAUGUGCAAAGCAUUACCAGUACCUUAUGUCCUUCUGGUUCUGAUUAAAUAUUUAGACAUUCCAAUCUCUGAAACAAGUUUUAUUUAUUUAUUUAUUAAGAAUAAUCAGAGCUUUAUCGUUCGAUGAAUCCUUGCAGUGGAGCCCUGUAGAACCUGAUGUUUUUGCUUCUUGCUCUGUGGAUAAAAGCAUUGCAUUAUGGGAUGCUCGUAGCGGGAGAUCACAAGUUGCGUUUUUUAACGCACAUAAUGCUGAUGUGAAUGUAUUGUCAUGGAACAGGUAUUAUAACAUUGAUUUUUGGUGUUCCAUCAUCUCCAUUUCCAUUCCAUACUUGAUUUCAGAGUAUCACAAAUUGCGUUUUUUAACGCACAUAAUGCUGAUGUGAAUGUAUUGUCAUGGAAGCCUCAUAAAUGGCAAGGCAAUCAGAUGAAUCUCUUGGAGGGUUAUCAGUUCAGUAGAAGAGAUGUUCACGUCUCGCAUAUGCAGUACGCAAAUAAUACUUUGAUUUUGUGGGGAAAAGUUGGCAAAAAUAUGAGGGUCAAGGAAAAUCUACAAUUAUUUAAGUUGAUAUCUGAUCUGAAAACAAACUUUCAUAGGAUGUUUCUAUCCAAAUAUUAACAUUGGCGAAUAGGAUUUCAAGUCUAGUUCGUAGACUAGUCUAUGCAGGCAUAUGCAGGUAUAAUAUAUUGAUGUCGAUUAAUAGUGUUUGUCUGUCACAACAGCCUGGAUUUUAUUGAAUGGUAGAGGGAAAUUAAUAAGGGAUUAAGGAUGGUGUUUGUGAGUUUUACAUUAUGAGUGGAUGGUUUUGUGUGUUGUAAGCCUCACUUUGAUUCAGGUGCAAACGGUUAUAUAUUGUUGAGCAUUUUAUCACAGUUAUUUUGAAAUCUUUUGUGCAGUAAUAUGCCAAAAGGGUUUGAAUUGGGUAUCCAAAUUUGCAUUUGAUAGAACAAUGAGAUAUAUACAUAUUUAUUAUUAAAUAUUAAUAGAGAUUGUAGGUGAUAAAUAUUCUUAUCUUACAAAUUUAGCAUAGUAUAUGAUUCUUUAAGCCACUGAUAGUAAGUAACCUUGCUUCCAUCAGAAAAAAGUAUGAUUUCUUAUCUAUAGUCUUGUAAUGGGGAUAUUGAACUUAUAUAUAGCAGCCUUUUCCACAUAUUUUUUAAUGUUUGCAUUUUUCUCAAAGGGGGAAGGAGAAUGACGGUGCAUAAGUGCAAGGUGGACAGCUAGCUAUGAAAGAAGCGUGUAGAUGUCCUUUGGUUACAAGUCUAUUAAAGUCUAUUAAUUAGUAGUAAUAUCAUAUAAUAUAUUUAUAUUCACUUGUAAGAGUGAACGUUUUAUGUAUACCGUUGAUGAAUAUAAAUUAAAUCUUUUUAAUAUACAAGUAAUAGGUAAAAGUUCUAGAUAGUAGAAAUUUUUGGAAGAAAAAUAAGGUGUACUAAGAUGCGUUGCUGGGCCCAUGAAAUAUAACCCGAUCCAAUUGGCAUUGCAUUAUUUAUACCCGACCCAAAUUUAUUAAACCCAAAUUAGUAGCUAUAAGUGUCUAUUGUUUCGUUCUUUUAUAUUCGCUAUGUGUCUGCGUUCAGUUUUGGGAUGAAUAAUUCAGCAAGUUGUUCAGGCAAUUUCUUUUUCAACACAGUAAAAUCUAUUUUGCUAUCUGAAUUUCAAUUUAUGAAAACCAAUUACAUGCAUACCUGAUCUUGGUUUGUUUCGGUUUAUAAAUUGUUGAAAUUGAUUUUAUAGAGGUUUCUUGGAUUAUAGUAUAGAGGGAAAAGAAAAGCGAAGUGAUGAUAGAAAUUCAUUUGUCUGUCAAUCCGCUGAUAUUCUUUGGUGUAAUUCAUGAAUCCCGACAGGUUCUGAUCGCUUUCAUAUUUCCCUUACUUGCUGGAUUUCUUGAUUUCUUAAGUUUCUCGAUUUGUUGAAUCAAUUAUUUAGGGUUUUUGAAUUGUUAUCUGAAUUGGGCAAAUGAUGAAUCUGAAAUUGUGUAAAUGGGUAAUUUGCAUCUGAAUAUGGUUGAUGUUAAUAUAACCUUGGAGAACUGAUGCCCUAAAUUCUAUGGAUUUUUAUGUUUCUUAGUUUGUUUCUAUCUUUUGAUCCCUAUAAUGAAUCGGUCAUUGCUACAUGAAUGGAUCACUAGAUUUGCGAUUGAAUUAUAUUAUUAUUGUCCCUUAAUUGGCACUAAUAACACUGUCAUAGUUGAGUUUUGAGGGGAGGUAAUAGAAAUGUUGGUUGUGAUUGCGAGAGAUCGAAGAAUCCUGACCCGAAUAACAUAAAUUUCAAGUUUAUUAAGUAGUUUUGGGAAAGUGUAUUUUCACAUAUUUAUUGCUGAAUUUCAUUUUAAUGGCAAAAUAAUGUGUUUAGUUAAUAAUUCUUUUUUAGCAUUGAUUCCAAAGAGUGAGAAUUCGGUGACGCUAAACUAUUAUAUUGGCAAAAUAGUGUGUAAAGCUAAUAAUGCAUUUUUAGCAUUAAUUCCAAAGAUUGAGAAUUCGGUGACGCUAAACUAUUCUAAUGGCAAAAUAGUGUGUAGAGCUAAUAAUGCAUUUUUAGCAUUGAUUCCAAAGAUUGAGAAUUCUGUGGCCCUAAACUAUUCUAAUGGCAAAAUAAUGUGUAGAGGUAAUAAUGCUUUUGUAGCAUUGAUUCUAAAGAUUGAGAUUUCGGUGACGCUAAGGUAUUCUAAUGGCAAAAUAGUGUGUAGAGCUAAUAAUGCUUUUUUUACCAUUAAUUCCAAAGAUUGAGAAUUCGGUGACGCUAAACUAUUCUAAUGGCAAAAUAGUGUGUAGAGCUAAUAAUGCUUUUUUAGCAUUGAUUCCAAAGAUUGAGAAUUCUGUGGCUGUAAACUAUUCUAAUGGGAAGAUAGUGUGUAGAGCUAAUAAUGCGUUUUUAGCAUUGAUUCCAAAGAUUGAGAAUUCGGUGAAGCUAAACUAUUUUAGGUCGAUAUCUUUAAUUGGCAGCAUGUGGCUAAAAAAGUUAUCUUUGAUUUACAAUUUGCAGUCUUAAAGGGCCGACAUAUGGUAGUUGGAAUACUCAUAGAAAAUGAGUUAGUAAAUGAUGUUCAAAGUGGAUUUAAAAAAAGUAUAUGAUUUUGUGAACUGGAAAUAUUUGGACUUUGACAGGAUUUAACGUCAAAUGAAGAUGCUAGAUUUCAGAGUGUCCUUGAUCAUCAACUAUUUUAGCGUUGGUCAGUGGAAGUCUCACAAAAAAAUCCGAAGAUGGUAAAGUUCUAUCGCCUUUUUAUGUUUUUGAGUGUUUAGUUCCCAAGAGGUGAUGUUUCACUUCUCGCAUAUGCAGUAUGCAAAUGAUACUUUAAUUGUGGGAAAAAGUUGGCAACACAUGAGGGCCAUGAUGGCAAAUUUACAGUUAUUUGAGUUAAUAUCCGGUCUUUAAAUAAACUUUCAUAAAAGUCUUUUGGUUUGAGUCAGAUGAAUCAGCAAAUCAAAUUUUAAGGUUGGAAAUAAUUGGAUGUUUCGGAUGGUUGUAAUCAUAUAAGAAAGAAGUUAUUGAAAUUGGUGAUUAAUAUAGUGUCAGGAAGAUUGUUCAAUAAUUAGUGCUUAUCUACAUGUGGCCGAAUCAUCCUUCUAAACAUUGUUAUACGCAUUAAUUGUAAAUUUAUUUCUUUCUUUAAAGGUCUGUUAGAUAUUAUUUCUAAUUUGAUUCUCUCUUUAAAAAUUUCUUGUGGGUUUAGCAUAAAAAUAAUUCAAGGGUGUUCGAAAUUCAAGGGUGUUCAGCCUAACUUUAUUAGGAAAGUGCGUGGGUUAAGGUUUUAAAAAGUAAAUAUUGUGAAAUAUUUGGUAAAGUGAGUAAAAUUGAGAGAAUGAGGUCAGCUUGGUGGCAGGACAUAAAAAUGGUGGAAAGUGGGUCGUGGGACUUUAAAUUAAAUUGGUUCUUGGAAAGGUUGUGCAUGAAAUUAGGAGGUGGAGUUGAAUCACAUUUUUGGACUCCUUGGAUAAAAGGAAUACUCUUGAAAAAUAGGUUAGUGGUACUGUUUGAUUUAUAAUCGAGAACAAAAAGGCUUCAUUUAAGGCAUUGGUGUUUCAUUUGACUGAGAAUGUUGAAUUAUUCAUUUCAUUUGACUGGUUUUCUUGUAAAAUCAUGUGGCAAAUUGUAUUUUUAGGGGACAUGUGAUUAUAGUUGUCUAAUGUUACAGAGUUGGCAAGUGAUAAUACAUAGAGGGAAAAGAAAAGCGAUAUGAUGAUAGAAAUUCACUGUCUGUCAAUUCACUGAUAUUCUUUGAUGUAAUUCAUGAAUCCCGACAGGUUCUGAUCGCAUUCAUAUUUCCCUCUUGUGCUUGAUUUGUUUAUUUCUUGAAGAAAAGCAGGGGCUAUAUUGAAUAUAUUGUCAUUGUAUUUCGUUAGUCCUCUUCCAAAUCCAGAUAGAGAUUCGAGAACAUUGUGACUAGUCUGAUGAAACUCGCAAGUGCAGUAUAGCUCGAGAAAUGAGAUACAUGUCGGGAUUGGUUCAAACAAGAUGAUGAAACUCAGAAGCUCGACACAGGAUGUGACUAUAAAUCAGAAGGACUUACUAUCUCCAAUACCCGGUAACAUUGACCGAUCCCAUAAAUAAGCUUUUUUACAUAUACUAUAUAGCGAUGCAGUAAUGUUUUUGCUGGUUAAACAUUUGCGAGCUAAUAAUUACAGAACAUAUAAUAAAUAUUCAUGUGCUGUCUGACCUGAGUUAUUGGUAGGAUGAAUGCUAAAUGGGAUUAUUUUGUUGUUUGUAAUGGAUUUUGAUUUUGCCAUGGUUACCUGCACAUGUGAGUAAUGGUAGAGAAGAUGGAUAUUAAAUGAAUUUGAUUCACUUAUUGAGUAUGUUGAAACAGCUUUUGGGAGAAAUCUCCGUCAAAGUUUCACUUAUCUGGUGUAGAAUUUACGUCGUAUAAUUUAGUCGGUUUGCAAAUUCUUAUCGAGUAGUAUUCUUGAGCAGAGGGGAUCUGAUUGUUAUAGGUGAAUUGGAUGGACAAUGUUCUGUGUUUGUAGAAUGUGCAGUUGCAUAGAGCUGCUGUGAAUGUCUUGCGUCACUCAAAGCUCCCAUAUCGGGAUGAAAUCGACUCACAAUGAAAACCAUAGUGGCAAUGUGAUGCCGGUGUCGACGAUAAAGUUUGUUAGGGCAGAUCUGUGAGUGGAGGUGAGACAUGAAUCCCCGUGUUAAUACUGCUGAUACCGCCAUUUGGAAGAUAAGUAUUUCUCACACAUUCUAUUCACAUAGUAUGAUUAACUAUUAUUUGUUUACAAUGCUUUGUUUGAUGAUCCAAUGUCAUAUAACUCAACUUAUAAUGUCUAUGUGUUAUCUAUAUGUUGUGGUGUCGAUUUCUGUAUGUCUUGCAAUGCAUUUUGAUUUUAGAGUUACAUUUGGAAGAUUGUGAAAAUUGUUGGGACUAACAGGAUGGCUGGGAAAUCAAAUCAAAUAUCUCCUGUCUCUAUUCAUCUCAGCAUCUACCUGCCAAGUGUUGUCAAUUUGAUGCCGGUAGAUCUGCCUAUUUUAGAAAAGGUCGCAAUAGAGGGACAACCAGAAGUAAGCAUCCGUGAUGACAACGACUACAUAUCGAGUCUCAUAGGAGGAUAAAUAAAGAUUGCAAUGAUCGGAGAUGACAAGUCACGCUCUAAUGUCAUCGUAAAAGAGUCGGAUUGAUAAUAACAAUGACAGGUCAGCGUUUUUUUGCUUCUGCUUCUCGAAUAUGAUUAGAAGUGUGUCAUCCUAUGUUCCAAUUACAAUAGCUUCGGAUGAUGGAAUAUCGAGGUGUCUUGGAAUUGGCUAAAGUAUAAAGCUCUUAGAUUUAAUUACCCUAUUGUUAAUUAGAUAUUAAAUCCAUUUGGUUGCUUACAAACUUACAAUGUUGAUGGAGUAUUGAGAUCAAUUCUAAAAAAUUACCGAUCGUCAAUACGUCUGUUUGGUCGUAGUUAGUGUUUGAAUUAUUAAGUAAUUCUCCUAUUUAUUCGUAUGGUUUGUUAGAAUGCUACUUGGUGUUGGUUUUUCCAUCAACCUUGGUUGGUGGAGCUUAUUCGGGACAUGACCUGCUAACUAUAUUUUUGGAUAAUCUUUGGAAGGAGCAUUUUUAUCUUUGCUGUAGUGCACAAUAGCCUUUUUUUUUUCUUUGGCUCAUGUUCUGUUUUUCUGUUUGGGGAAUAGGAGGCGUGUAGGGGUGGAUAAGUUGUAACUCAUAUUUUGUUUUUCUUUUGGGAGCAGUAUCUCAUGCAUGAGAUUUGUAUUCUGGCAUAUCUUAUGCCUUACACCUUUUCUUUAAUUUAAUGUUACUGCCUUUUCAAAAAAAAUAUUGAUAUCCAAUCAAUAUCCACCCAAAAUAUUGGUGUGAAACGCAUUAUGCAUUAUGAAGUUUUCAAUUAUUUCUUAAGUCUAUCUAGAGACAAAAAGAGGGAAAGACCAGAAUUUUGAAUUUAAAGACAUUAGAGAUGAAGAAAAUGAUGUUCUCAUAGCUGAACUUAGAGACGAGGAAAUAAGAAAUGUUUGGGAUUCCGAGAGUUUGAAGUUCCUUGAUUCAUAGCAUAGAUUUCAGUUUUAUUAAUGAGCUUUAGGAUGUAAUUAAAAUAGACUUUCAUAUUCAUUGUUGAAUUUAAUUCAAAUGGCGUAACAGUGCGUGGAGGUAUUAAUGCUUUUUAGUAUUGAAUCCAAAGAUAAAGAAUCUAGUGAAGCUAAGCCAAUAUCUUUAAUUGACAGUAUCUAGAAAGUGAAGCUAGGCCAAUAUCUUUAAUUGGCAGCAUCUAGAAAAUCUUAGUAAUGUUAUAUGCAAAUAGAUUGAAGGUGGAGGAUAUAAAAGCUAUCUCUGAUUCGUAAAUCGCCAAAUGCCAAAUAGGAGGAAAAAAGAACUGUGAUACCUGAUUCGCAAUUCGCCGUAGGCCAAAUAGGAGGAAAAAAAGAUGUUAAAAGUAGAAUUUGAAAAAGCUUAUGAAUUUGUCGACUAAAAAUAGUCCCAAAAGUCUAUGAUAUUUAUUUGUGUUUUGUUUUCUGUUUUUUAUCCAUCUAAUCUAUAAUCUAAAUUGGCCGUAUCAUUAAAUUUAUCAUUGUACCAGAAUGAAUUUGUCAUAGCUGGAUCACUUGAUUUGCGAUAGAAUUAUAUUAUAUUAAUAUUAUUGUUCCUUCAUUGGGAUUAAAUAAGUUGGUUGUGCAAGAUAUUUUAUUCUAGUUUUAAUCAUUUGCUUAUUACUUGAAGUCACAGACAACGUUGGAUCUAGUUCUAGGAUUGGUUUUUUAAAAUCUUUUUGGUUAUUUUAAGGGGCUAUGUUAAUUUGUUAAAAUAUUAAGUGGCUGGCCAAAGUAAAACGAGACUUAUAGGACUAAUCAAGGCGAUCAUGGUUUUGAUUAAUUGGUUUGGAUUAAUCAUUGUUGGAAAAAUGUUGCUAUGGAGUAAAUUGAUGGGGUUGAUCAAAUAAAAAACAGGCCAGGUGCUAGGAAAAUGUUGCUAUGGAGUAAAUUGAUGGAGUUGAUCAAAUAAAAAACAGGCCAGGUACUAGAUGUUGCGUGAUAGGAGAUUUUAACAGUUCUUUCACACGUGCCUCUUAAAUAUAAGAAAAUAGAUGAGAUUAAUUUUAUAGAAGAAAAUUGAUGAGAUUAAUUGUAUAGAAGUAGAUGGAACAAAAUAGACAGGUGUUCAUGAGAUAAAGGAUGAAGUUUUUUAUUAUUUCUCAGGUCUAUUUAGAUUGCAAAAGAGGAAAAGAUUGGUUAUGCAGAAUUUUGAAUUUAAACACAUUUGAGAUAAAGAUAAUCAUUUUCUCAUAGAUGAAUUUCGUGGAGGAAUUAGAGUAGACUUUCAUUUGAAUGGCAAAAUAGUGCAUGAAGCUAAUCAUUUUUUUUAGCAUUGAUUCCAAAGAUAAAAAAUCUAGUGAAGCUGGACCAUUUUAGGCCGACAUCUUUAAUUGGUAGCAUGUAGAAAGUUUUAAUAAAGCUAUUGGCAAAUAGAUUGGAGGUGGUGGGUAAAGUUUUCUUUGAUUUGCAAAGUUAUCUUUGAUUUGCAAUUCUAAUAGAUGGUAGGUGGAAUACUCGUAGCAAAUGAGUUAGUAGAUGAUGCAAAUAGGAGGAAAAAAGAAGUGUUGAUGUGUAAAGUGGAUUUAAAAAAAGUGUAUGAUUUUGUGGAUUGGAAAUAUUUGAGAACUUAAUAAUGGAAAAGAAAAAGGGAUUUAAUCAUGCCUUACAACUUUUUCUUGAAUUUAAUGUUAUGGCCUUUUACAAAAAUAAUUGAUAUUCAAUCAAUAUAUCACCUUGGAAAACUGAUGCCCUGAGUUCUAUGGAUUUUUUUUGUUUGCUAGUUUGUUUCCGUGUUUUGUUAUCCAUCUAAUCUAAAAUGACCUUAGCAUUAAAAUUUUCAUAGUACUAGAAUGAAUUGGUUAUUGCUACAUGGAUAGAUCACUUGAUUUGUGAUUGAAUUAUAUUAUAUUGUCCCAUCAUUGGCACUAAUGACACUGUCAUAGCUGAAUUUAGAAAGGAGGUAAUAGAAAUGUUGGUUGUGAUUGCGAGAUAUUGGAGAAUCCUGACCCGAAUAAUAGAAAUUUCCAGUUUAUUAAGUAGUUUUGGGAAAACGUACUUUCCAUUAUUCAUUGCUGAAUUUCAUUUUAAUGGCAAAAUAAUGUGUUGAGCUAAUAAUGCUUUUUUAGCAUUGAUUCCAAAGAUUGAGAAUUCGGUGACGCUAAACUAUUCUAUUGGCAAAAUAAUGUGUAGAGCUAAUAUUGCUUUUUUUUUACCAUUAAUUCCAAAGAUUGAGAAUUCGGUGACGCUAAACUAUUCUAAUGGCAAAAUAGUGUGUAGAGCUAAUAAUGCUUUUUUAGCAUUGAUUUCAAAGAUUGAGAAUUCUGUGGCCCUAAACUAUUCUAAUGGGAAAAUAGUAUGUAGAGCUAAUAAUGCGUUUUUAGCAUUGAUUCCAAAGAUUGAGAAUUCGGUGAAGCUAAACUAUUUUAGGUCGAUAUCUUUAAUUGGCAGCAUGUGGCUAAAAAAGUUAUCUUUGAUUUUUUGCAAUCUUAAAGGGCCGACAUAUGGUAGAUGGAAUACUCAUAGAAAAUGAGUUAGUAAAUGAUGUUCAAAGUGGAUUUAAAAAAAGUAUAUGAUUUUGUGAACUGGAAAUUUUUGGACUUUGACAGGAUUUAACGUCAAAUGGAGAUGCUAGAUUUCAGAGUGUCCUUGAUCAUCAACUAUUUUAGCGUUGGUCAGUGGAAGUCUCACAAAAAAAUCCGAAGAUGGUAAAGUUCUAUCACCUUUUUAUAUUUUUGAGUGUUUAGUUCCCUAGAGGUGAUGUUUCACUUCGUGAGGUUGUUCUCACAUCAGUAGCAUUGUUUUUGGUUACAUUUCCUCCAAGGAGAAUUACCUCCACCCAUUGAUCUGUUCCUCUUUCAAUAUACUGUUAUGGUUAAUUAGCACAACAGAAUUCAAUACAAUCGCCCCUUUUCUAGCAAGAGCAGUCACAUGUGAACAAAACCUCUCCUUUUGUUACAAGUCUGCUACUGGCCUUAACUGAUUGAAGACCUUAAACUUCAGGAAUGCAAUCAAUGAGAUGGACUAGUUCCUCCAAAUUCCUGAUGUAGAUGUCCAAAUACUUGUGGACGCUGCGAGUAUAUUUUCAUUUUCUGGGAUUGCAAUGCCGAGAAGGUUGUCCAAGUGGAAUAACCGAUGCUUAUUUAUUGAUGGUCGAAUCAUUCUUCUGAAAUCUGUCUUGUACGCAUUAGUUGUUUAUUCCUCUUUCUUUCUUUGAAGCCCUGAGAGGUAUUAUUUCUAAUCUUGAGUUUCUCUUUAAAAUUUUCUUAUGAGGUGAAGGAUUGGAAGGCAAAAAAAUAAGUUAGUUCAUUGGGAAAAGGUGUGCUAGGAAAGAGAGGAUGGCGGUCCAGGUCUAAUUUAGUCGGUUUGCAAAUUGGAUCGAGUAAUGUGCAGUUGCAUAGAGUUGCUGUGAACGUCUUGCGUCACUUGAAGCUCCCAGAUCGGGAUGAAAUCGUCUCACAAUGAAAAUCAUAGUGCCAAUGUGAUGCCGAUGUCGACAAUAGAGUUUGUUAGGGCAGAUCUGCGAGUGGAGGUGAGACAUGAAUCACCAUGUUAAUACUGCUGAUACCACCAUUUGGAAGAUAAGUAUUUCUCACACAUUCUAUUCACCUAGUAUGAUUAACUAUUGUUUGUUUACAAUGUUUUGUUUGGUGAUCUAAUGUCAUAUAACUCAACUUACAAUGUGUAUGUGUUAUCUAUAUGUUGUGGUGUCUAUUUCUUUAUGUCUUACAAUGCAUUUUGAUUUUAGAGUUACAUUUGGAAGAUUGUGAAAAUUGUUGGGACAAAUUACCACUGCUAUGAUUCGAAAGGAAAUUGAAGAUGACACUAUCAGGAUGGCUGGGAAAUCAAAUCAAAUAUCUCGUACCGCCAUUUGGAAGAUAAGUAUUUCUCACACAUUCUAUUCACCUAGUAUGAUUAACUAUUGUUUGUUUACAACACUUUGUUUAGCGAUCUAAUGUCAUAUAACUCAACUUACAAUGUGUAUGUGUUAUCUAUAUGUUGUGGUGUCUAUUUCUGUAUGUCUUGCAAUGCAUUUUGAUUUUAGAGUUACAUUUGGAAGAUUGUGAAAAUUGUUGCGACAAAUUACCACUGCUAUGAUUCGAAAAGAAAUUGAAGAUGACACUAACAGGAUGGCUAGGAAAUCAAAUCAAAUAUCUCCUGUCUCUAUUCAACUCAGCAUCUACCUGUCAAGUGUUGUCAAUUUGAUGCCGGUAGAUCUGCCUGUUUUAGCAAAGGUCGCAGUAGAGGGACAACCAGAAGGUUGUUUCUACCAGGAUAGUGGGUGAACCGAUACGCUAUUUGUAUGGCGUGGCUAUGAUGUUUUAUUAAUACUUUUAAAUGUUUGCAGUAAGCAUCCCUAAUGACAACGGCUACGUAUCAAGUCUCAUGGGAGGAGAAAUCAAGAUUGCAAUGAUCGGAGAUGACAAGACAAGCUCUAAUGUCAUUGUAAAAGAGUCGGAUUGAAAAUGACAACAACAGAGUUGACAAGUGAUAGGCACAUAGAGGGAAAAGAAAAGUGAUAUGAUGAUAGAAAUUCAUUUGUAUCCACCGGUAUUCUUUGAUGUAAUUCAUGAAUCCCGACAGGUUCUGAUAAAUUUCAUAUUUCCCUUUCUUGCUUGAUUUCUUUUCUUAAUUUCUUGUGUUUCUUAAUUUGGUGAUGUAACCUUAUUAAUUAUUUAUGGUUUUUGAAUUGUUUGCUUGAUUUGUUUUUUUAAUUUCUUGUGUUUCUUAAUUUGGUGAUGUAAAUUUAUUAAUUAUUUAUGGUUUUUGAAUUGUUUUCAGAAUUCUGCAGAUGAUGAUGAAAUUGUGUAAAUGGAUAAUUUGCAUCUGAAUUUCAUUAAUGUUAAUAUCACCUUAGAGAACUAAUGCCCCUAAGUCUAUGGGUAUAUAUUUUUGUUAGUUUGUUUAUUGUUUUGUUUUCUCUUUUUUUGGAUCCAUCUAAUCUAAUUAUGCUUUAUGAAGUCUUCAAUUAUUUCUUAGGUCGAUCUAGGGACAAAAAGAGGGAAAGACCGAUUGCAUUAUGCAUUAUGAAGUUUUCAAUUAUUUCUUAGGUCGAUCUAGAGACAAAAAGAGGGAAAGAUCGAUUGCAUUAUGCAUUAUGAAGUUUUCAAUUAUUUCUUUAGUCUAUCUAGAGACAAAAAGAGGGAAAGACCAGAAUUUUGAAUUUAAAUGCAUUAGAGAUGAAGAUUUGUUAAAAUAGUAAGUGCCUGGCCAAAGUAAAAUGAGAUUUAUAAGACUAAUCAGGGCGAUCAUGGUUUUGAUUAUUUGGUUUGAAUUACUGUUGGAAAAAGGCUGCUAUGGAGUAAAUUGAUGGAGUUGAUCAAAUCAAAAACAUGUCAGGUGCUAGAUGUUGCGUGAUGGGAAAAAUAGGUCAGUGGUACUGUUUGAUUUAUAAUUAAGAAUAAAAAGGCUUCAUUUAAGGCAUUGGUGAUUCAUUUGACUGAGAAUAUAGAAUUAUGCAUUUCAUUUACUGGUUUUCUUGUAAAAUCACAGAGGGAAAAGAAAAGCGAAGUGAUGAUAGAAAUUCAUUUGUCUGUCAAUCCGCUGAUAUUCUUUGAUGAAAUUCAUGAAUCCUGACAGGUUCUGAUCGCUUUCAUAUUUCUCUCUCUUGCUUGAUUUCUUGAGUUUCCCGAUUUAUUGAGUCAAUUAUUUAUAGUUUUUGAAUUGUUAUCAGAAUUGGGAAAAUGAUGAAUAUAAAAUUAUGUAAAUGGGUAAUUUGCAUCUGAAUAUGGUUGAUGUUAAUAUCACCUUGGAGAACUGAUUCCCUAAAUUCUUUGGAUUUUUAUGCUUGUUAGUCUAAUUUAGUGUUUUGUUCUCUGUUUUUUGGGAUCAAUCUAAUCUAAAAUGACUUUAGCAUUAAAAUUAUCGUAGUACUAGAAUGAAUUGGUCAUUGCUACAUGGAUGGAUCACUUGAUUUGUGAUUGAAUUAUAUUAUUAUUGUCCCUUCAUUGGCACUAAUGGUACUGUCAUAAUUGAAUUUGGAGAGGAACUAAUAGAGAUGUUGGUUGGGAUUGCGAGAGAUCGAAGAAAUGUUGGUUGUGAUUGAGAGAGAUCGAAGAAUCCUGAACCGAAUAACACAAAUUUCAAGUUUAUUAAGUUGUUUUGGGAUAGCUUACUUUCACAUAUUCAUUGCUCAAUUUCAUUCUAAUGGAAAAAUAGUGUGUUGAGCUAAUAAUUCUUUUUAAGCAAUGAUUCCAAAGAUUGAGAAUUUGGUGACGCAUAACUAUUCUAAUGGGAAAGUAGUAUGUAGAGCUAAGAAUGCGUUUUUAGCAUUGAUUCCAAAGAUUGAGAAUUCUGUGACGCUAAACUAUUCUACUGGCAAAAUAGUGUGUAUAGCUAAUAAUGCUUUUUUAGCAUUGAUUCCAAAGAUUGAGAAUUCGGUGACGCAUAGCUAUUCUAAUGGGAAAAUUAUGUGUAGAGCUAAUAAAGCUUUUUAAGCAUUGAUUCCAAAGAUUGAGAAUUCGGUGACGCUAAACUAUUCUACUGGCAAAAGUGUGUAGAGGUAAUAAUGCUUUUUUAGCAUUGAUUCCAAAGAUUGAAAUUGCGGCGACGCUAAACUAUUCUAAUGGCAAAAUUGUGUGUAGAGCUAAUAAUGCUUUUUAGCAUUGGUUCCAAAGAUUGAGAAUUCGGUGACGCUAAACUAUUCUAACGGGAAAAUAGUGUGUAGAGCUAAUAAUGCAUUUUUAGCAUUGAUUCCAAAGAUUGAGAAUUUGGUGACGCUAAACUAUUCUAAUAGAAAAAUAAUGUGUAGUGCUAAUAAUUCUUUUUUAGCAAUGAUUCCAAAGAUUGAGAAUUCUGUGACCCUAAACUAUUCUAAUGGCAAAAUAGCGUGUAGAGCUAAUAAUGCGUUUUUAAUACUGAUUCCAAAGAUUGAGAGUUCGGUGAAGCUAAACUAUUCUAAUGGCAAAAUUGUGUGUAGAGCUAAUAAUGCAUUUUUAGCAUUGAUUCCAAAGAUUGAGAAUUUGGUGACGCUAAACUAUUCUAAUGGAAAAAUAAUGUGUAGUGCUAAUAAUUCUUUUUUAGCAAUGAUUCCAAAGAUUGGGAAUUCUGUGACUUUAAACUAUUCUAAUGGCAAAAUAGCGUGUAGAGAUAAUAAUGCGUUUUUAAUAUUGAUUCCAAAGAUUUAGAUUUUGGUGAAGCGAAACUAUUCUAAUGUCAAAAUACUGUGUAGAGCUAAUGGCAAAAAUUUCUAAUUUGUUUAUCUAUAUGUGGCAUUAGUAUUUUAAGAUGACAUGAGAUUAUAGUUGUCUAAUGUUGCAGAGUUGACAAGUGAUAAUACAUAGAGGGAAAAGAAAAGCUAUAUGAUGAUAAAAAUUUAUUUGUCUGUCAAUCCAGUGAUAUUCUUUGAUGUAAUUCAUGAAUCCCGGCAAGUUCUAAUCGCUUUCACAUUCCUCUCUUGCUUGAUUUCUUGAGUUUCUCGAUUUGUUGAUUAAAUUAUUUAUGGUUUUCGAAUAGUUAUCAGAAUUAGGCAAAUGAUGAAUCUGAAAUGGUGUAAAUGGGUAAUUCGCAUCUAUAUAUCGUUGAUGUUAAAAUCACCUUGGAUAACUGAUGCCGUAAAUUCUAUUGAUUUUUAUGUUUGUUAGCUUGUUUCUCUGUUUUGUUCUCUGUUUUUUUGAUCCAUCUAAUCUAUAAUGAUCUUAGCAUUAAAAUUAUCAUCUUACUAGAAUGAAUUGUUCAUUGCUACAUGGUUGGAUCACUUGAUUUGUGAUUGAAUUAUAUUAUUACCGCCCCUUCAUUGGCACUAAUGACCCUGUCAUAGUUGAAUUUAGAAAGGAGGUAAUAUAAAUGUUGGUUGUGAUUGCAAGAGAUCUAAGAAUCCUGUCCCGAAUAACAUAAAUUUCAAUAUUAGUAAGUAGUUUUGGGAAAGCGUAUUUUCACAUAUUCAUCGCUGGAUUUCAAUUUAAUGUCAAAAUAGUGUGUAGAGCUAAUCAUGCUUUUUUAGCAUUGAUACCAAAGAUUGAGAAUUUGGUGACGCUAAACUAUUCUAAUGGCAAAAUAGUGUGUAGAGCUAAUAAUGCUUUUUUAGCAUUGAUUCCAAAGAUUGAUAAUUCGGUGACGCUAAACUAUUCUAAUGGAAAAACAGUGUGUAGAGCUAAUAAUGCUUUUUUAGCAUUGAUUUCAAAGAUUGAGAACUCGGUGACGCUAAACUAUUCUAAUGGGAAAAUAGUGUGUAGAGCUAAUAAUGUGUUUUUAGCAUUGAUUCUAAAGAUUUAGAAUUUGAUGAAGCUAAACUAAUUUACGUCGAUAUCUUUAAUUGGCAGCAUGUGGCUAAAAUGUUAUAUUUGUUUACAAUUUAAGGUCUUAAAGGGCCGACAUAUGGUAGAUGGAAUACUCAUACCAAAUGAGUUAGUAAAUGAUGUUCAAAGUGGAUAUAAAAACAUAUAUGAUUUUGUGGACUGGAAAUAUUUAGAUUAUGACGGGAUUUAAAAUUAAAUGGAGAUGCUGGAUUUUAGAAUAUCUUUGAUCAUCAACUAUUUUAGCGUUGGUCAAUGGAAGUCUCACAAAAAAAUCCAAAGAUGCUAAAGGUCUAUCGCCUUUUUAUUCUUUUGAGUGUUUAGUUCCAUAGAGGUGAUGUUCACUUCUCGCGUAUGCAGUAUGCAAAUGAUACCUUAAUUGUGCGAAAAAGUUGGCAACACAUGAGGGCCAUGAUGGACAAUUUACAGUUAUUUGAGUUAAUAUCUGGUCUUUAAAUAAAAUUUCAUAAAAGUAUUUUAGUUUGAGUCAAAUGAAUCAGCAAAUCAAAUUUAAGGUUGGAAAUACUUCGACGUUUCUGAUGGUUGUAAUCAUAAAAUAAUGAAGUUAUUGAAAUUGGUGAUUAAUAGUGUCCGGAAGAUUGUCCAAGUGGAAUAAUUAGUGCUUAUCUACAUGUGGCCGAAUCAUCCUUCUAAACUUUGUUAUAGGUAUUACCGGUCUAUUUCAUUUCUUUCUCUAAAGCUUUGUUAGAUAUUAUUUCUAAUUUGAUUCUCUCUUUAAAAAUUUCUUGUGGGUUGGAAGAUUGGAAAGCAUAAAAAUAAGUUGGGUUCAUUAAAAAUAUGUAUGCUAGGAAAGAAAGGAAGGGGGGAUCUAGGUAUACAAAAUUCAAGGGUGUUCAACUUAACUCUUAGGAAAGUGUGUGGGUUAAUGUUUUAAUAAGUAAAUAUGGGUUGUGGGACUUUAAUUACAUUGGUUCUUUGAAAUGUUGUGCAUGAAAUUAGGAAGGGGAGUUUAAUCACAUUUUUGGACUCCUUGGUUAAAAGGAAUAAUCUUGAAAAACUGGUUAGUGGGUCUGUUUGAUUUAAUUGAGAACAAAAAGGCUUCAUUUAAGGAAUUGCUGAUUCAUUUGACUGAGAAUGAAGAAUUAUUCAUUUCAUUUGACUGUUUCUUGUAAAAUUAUGUGGCAAUUGUAUUUUAAAGUGAGAUGAGAUUAUAGUUGUCUAAUGUUGCAGAGUUGACAAGUGAUAAUACAUAGAGGGAAAAGAAAAGCGAUAUGAUGAUAGAAAUUCAUUUGUUUGUCAAUCCACUAAUAUUCUUAGUGUGUAGAGCUAAUAAUGCUUUUUUAGCAUUUAUUCCAAAGAUUGAGAAUUUUGUGGCCCUAAACUAUUCUAAUGGGAAAAUAGUGUGUAGAGCUAAUAAUGCGUUUUUAGCAUUGAUUCCAAAGAUUGAGAAUUCGGUGAAGCUAAACUAUUUUAGGUCGAUAUCUUUAAUUGGCAGCAUGUGGCUAAAAAAGUUAUCUUUGAUUUACAAUUUGCAGUCUUAAAGGGACGACAUAUGGUAGUUACUCAUAGAAAAUGAGUUAGUAAAUGAUGUUCAAAGUGGAUUUAAAAAAAGUAUAUGAUUUUGUGAACCGGAAAUAUUUGGACUUUGACAGGAUUUAACGUCAAAUGAAGAUGCUAGAUUUCAGAGUGUCCUUGAUCAUCAACUAUUUUAGCGUUGGUCAGUGGAAAUCUCACAAAAAAUCCGAAGAUGGUAAAGUUCUAUCGCCUUUUUAUAUUUUUGAGUGUUUAGUUCCCUAGAGGUGAUGUUUCACUUCGUGAGGUUGUUCUCACAUCAGUAGCAUUGUUUUUGGUUACAUUUCCUCCAAGGAGAAUUACCUCCACCCAUUGAUCUGUUCCUCUUUCAAUAUAUUGUUAUGGUUAAUUAGCACAACAGAAUUCAAUACAAUCGCCCCUUUUCUAGCAAGAGCAGUCACAUGUGAACAAAACCUCUCCUUUUGUUACAAGUCUGCUACUGGCCUUAACUGAUUGAAGACCUUAAACUUCAGGAAUGCAAUCAAUGAGAUGGACUAGUUCCUCCAAAUUCCUGAUGUAGAUGUCCAAAUACUUGUGGACGCUGCGAGUAUAUUUUCAUUUUCUGGGAUUGCAAUGCCGAGAAGGUUGUCCAAGUGGAAUAACCGAUGCUUAUUUAUUGAUGGUCGGAUCAUUCUUCUGAAAUCUGUCUUGUACGCAUUAGUUGUUUAUUCCUCUUUCUUUCUUUGAAGCCCUGAGAGGUAUUAUUUCUAAUCUUGAGUUUCUCUUUAAAAUUUUCUUAUGAGGUGAAGGAUUGGAAGGCAAAAAAAUAAGUUAGUUCAUUGGGAAAAGGUGUGCUAGGAAAGAGAGGAUGGCGGUCCAGGUCUAAUUUAGUCGGUUUGCAAAUUGGAUCGAGUAAUGUGCAGUUGCAUAGAGUUGCUGUGAACGUCUUGCGUCACUUGAAGCUCCCAGAUCGGGAUGAAAUCGGCUCACAAUGAAAAUCAUAGUGCCAAUGUGAUGCCGAUGUCGACAAUAGAGUUUGUUAGGGCAGAUCUGCGAGUGGAGGUGAGACAUGAAUCACCAUGUUAAUACUGCUGAUACCACCAUUUGGAAGAUAAGUAUUUCUCACACAUUCUAUUCACCUAGUAUGAUUAACUAUUGUUUGUUUACAAUGUUUUGUUUGGUGAUCUAAUGUCAUAUAACUCAACUUACAAUGUGUAUGUGUUAUCUAUAUGUUGUGGUGUCUAUUUCUUUAUGUCUUACAAUGCAUUUUGAUUUUAGAGUUACAUUUGGAAGAUUGUGAAAAUUGUUGGGACAAAUUACCACUGCUAUGAUUCGAAAGGAAAUUGAAGAUGACACUAUCAGGAUGGCUGGGAAAUCAAAUCAAAUAUCUCGUACCGCCAUUUGGAAGAUAAGUAUUUCUCACACAUUCUAUUCACCUAGUAUGAUUAACUAUUGUUUGUUUACAACACUUUGUUUAGCGAUCUAAUGUCAUAUAACUCAACUUACAAUGUGUAUGUGUUAUCUAUAUGUUGUGGUGUCUAUUUCUGUAUGUCUUGCAAUGCAUUUUGAUUUUAGAGUUACAUUUGGAAGAUUGUGAAAAUUGUUGCGACAAAUUACCACUGCUAUGAUUCGAAAAGAAAUUGAAGAUGACACUAACAGGAUGGCUAGGAAAUCAAAUCAAAUAUCUCCUGUCUCUAUUCAACUCAGCAUCUACCUGUCAAGUGUUGUCAAUUUGAUGCCGGUAGAUCUGCCUGUUUUAGCAAAGGUCGCAGUAGAGGGACAACCAGAAGGUUGUUUCUACCAGGAUAGUGGGUGAACCGAUACGCUAUUUGUAUGGCGUGGCUAUGAUGUUUUAUUAAUACUUUUAAAUGUUUGCAGUAAGCAUCCCUAAUGACAACGGCUACGUAUCAAGUCUCAUGGGAGGAGAAAUCAAGAUUGCAAUGAUCGGAGAUGACAAGACAAGCUCUAAUGUCAUUGUAAAAGAGUCGGAUUGAAAAUGACAACAACAGAGUUGACAAGUGAUAGGCACAUAGAGGGAAAAGAAAAGUGAUAUGAUGAUAGAAAUUCAUUUGUAUCCACCGGUAUUCUUUGAUGUAAUUCAUGAAUCCCGACAGGUUCUGAUAAAUUUCAUAUUUCCCUUUCUUGCUUGAUUUCUUUUCUUAAUUUCUUGUGUUUCUUAAUUUGGUGAUGUAACCUUAUUAAUUAUUUAUGGUUUUUGAAUUGUUUGCUUGAUUUGUUUUUUUAAUUUCUUGUGUUUCUUAAUUUGGUGAUGUAAAUUUAUUAAUUAUUUAUGGUUUUUGAAUUGUUUUCAGAAUUCUGCAGAUGAUGAUGAAAUUGUGUAAAUGGGUAAUUUGCAUCUGAAUUUCAUUAAUGUUAAUAUCACCUUAGAGAACUAAUGCCCCUAAGUCUAUGGGUAUAUAUUUUUGUUAGUUUGUUUAUUGUUUUGUUUUCUCUUUUUUUGGAUCCAUCUAAUCUAAUUAUGCUUUAUGAAGUCUUCAAUUAUUUCUUAGGUCGAUCUAGGGACAAAAAGAGGGAAAGACCGAUUGCAUUAUGCAUUAUGAAGUUUUCAAUUAUUUCUUAGGUCGAUCUAGAGACAAAAAGAGGGAAAGACCGAUUGCAUUAUGCAUUAUGAAGUUUUCGAUUAUUUCUUUAGUCUAUCUAGAGACAAAAAGAGGGAAAGACCAGAAUUUUGAAUUUAAAUGCAUUAGAGAUGAAGAUUUGUUAAAAUAGUAAGUGCCUGGCCAAAGUAAAAUGAGAUUUAUAAGACUAAUCAGGGCGAUCAUGGUUUUGAUUAUUUGGUUUGAAUUACUGUUGGAAAAAGGCUGCUAUGGAGUAAAUUGAUGGAGUUGAUCAAAUCAAAAACAUGUCAGGUGCUAGAUGUUGCGUGAUGGGAAAAAUAGGUCAGUGGUACUGUUUGAUUUAUAAUUAAGAAUAAAAAGGCUUCAUUUAAGGCAUUGGUGAUUCAUUUGACUGAGAAUAUAGAAUUAUGCAUUUCAUUUACUGGUUUUCUUGUAAAAUCACAGAGGGAAAAGAAAAGCGAAGUGAUGAUAGAAAUUCAUUUGUCUGUCAAUCCGCUGAUAUUCUUUGAUGAAAUUCAUGAAUCCUGACAGGUUCUGAUCGCUUUCAUAUUUCUCUCUCUUGCUUGAUUUCUUGAGUUUCCCGAUUUAUUGAGUCAAUUAUUUAUAGUUUUUGAAUUGUUAUCAGAAUUGGGAAAAUGAUGAAUAUAAAAUUAUGUAAAUGGGUAAUUUGCAUCUGAAUAUGGUUGAUGUUAAUAUCACCUUGGAGAACUGAUUCCCUAAAUUCUUUGGAUUUUUAUGCUUGUUAGUCUAAUUUAGUGUUUUGUUCUCUGUUUUUUGGGAUCAAUCUAAUCUAAAAUGACUUUAGCAUUAAAAUUAUCGUAGUACUAGAAUGAAUUGGUCAUUGCUACAUGGAUGGAUCACUUGAUUUGUGAUUGAAUUAUAUUAUUAUUGUCCCUUCAUUGGCACUAAUGGUACUGUCAUAAUUGAAUUUGGAGAGGAACUAAUAGAGAUGUUGGUUGGGAUUGCGAGAGAUCGAAGAAAUGUUGGUUGUGAUUGAGAGAGAUCGAAGAAUCCUGAACCGAAUAACACAAAUUUCAAGUUUAUUAAGUUGUUUUGGGAUAGCUUACUUUCACAUAUUCAUUGCUCAAUUUCAUUCUAAUGGAAAAAUAGUGUGUUGAGCUAAUAAUUCUUUUUAAGCAAUGAUUCCAAAGAUUGAGAAUUUGGUGACGCAUAACUAUUCUAAUGGGAAAGUAGUAUGUAGAGCUAAGAAUGCGUUUUUAGCAUUGAUUCCAAAGAUUGAGAAUUCUGUGACGCUAAACUAUUCUACUGGCAAAAUAGUGUGUAUAGCUAAUAAUGCUUUUUUAGCAUUGAUUCCAAAGAUUGAGAAUUCGGUGACGCAUAGCUAUUCUAAUGGGAAAAUUAUGUGUAGAGCUAAUAAAGCUUUUUAAGCAUUGAUUCCAAAGAUUGAGAAUUCGGUGACGCUAAACUAUUCUACUGGCAAAAGUGUGUAGAGGUAAUAAUGCUUUUUUAGCAUUGAUUCCAAAGAUUGAAAUUGCGGCGACGCUAAACUAUUCUAAUGGCAAAAUUGUGUGUAGAGCUAAUAAUGCUUUUUAGCAUUGGUUCCAAAGAUUGAGAAUUCGGUGACGCUAAACUAUUCUAACGGGAAAAUAGUGUGUAGAGCUAAUAAUGCAUUUUUAGCAUUGAUUCCAAAGAUUGAGAAUUUGGUGACGCUAAACUAUUCUAAUAGAAAAAUAAUGUGUAGUGCUAAUAAUUCUUUUUUAGCAAUGAUUCCAAAGAUUGAGAAUUCUGUGACCCUAAACUAUUCUAAUGGCAAAAUAGCGUGUAGAGCUAAUAAUGCGUUUUUAAUACUGAUUCCAAAGAUUGAGAGUUCGGUGAAGCUAAACUAUUCUAAUGGCAAAAUUGUGUGUAGAGCUAAUAAUGCAUUUUUAGCAUUGAUUCCAAAGAUUGAGAAUUUGGUGACGCUAAACUAUUCUAAUGGAAAAAUAAUGUGUAGUGCUAAUAAUUCUUUUUUAGCAAUGAUUCCAAAGAUUGGGAAUUCUGUGACUUUAAACUAUUCUAAUGGCAAAAUAGCGUGUAGAGAUAAUAAUGCGUUUUUAAUAUUGAUUCCAAAGAUUUAGAUUUUGGUGAAGCGAAACUAUUCUAAUGUCAAAAUACUGUGUAGAGCUAAUGGCAAAAAUUUCUAAUUUGUUUAUCUAUAUGUGGCAUUAGUAUUUUAAGAUGACAUGAGAUUAUAGUUGUCUAAUGUUGCAGAGUUGACAAGUGAUAAUACAUAGAGGGAAAAGAAAAGCUAUAUGAUGAUAAAAAUUUAUUUGUCUGUCAAUCCAGUGAUAUUCUUUGAUGUAAUUCAUGAAUCCCGGCAAGUUCUAAUCGCUUUCACAUUCCUCUCUUGCUUGAUUUCUUGAGUUUCUCGAUUUGUUGAUUAAAUUAUUUAUGGUUUUCGAAUAGUUAUCAGAAUUAGGCAAAUGAUGAAUCUGAAAUGGUGUAAAUGGGUAAUUCGCAUCUAUAUAUCGUUGAUGUUAAAAUCACCUUGGAUAACUGAUGCCGUAAAUUCUAUUGAUUUUUAUGUUUGUUAGCUUGUUUCUCUGUUUUGUUCUCUGUUUUUUUGAUCCAUCUAAUCUAUAAUGAUCUUAGCAUUAAAAUUAUCAUCUUACUAGAAUGAAUUGUUCAUUGCUACAUGGUUGGAUCACUUGAUUUGUGAUUGAAUUAUAUUAUUACCGCCCCUUCAUUGGCACUAAUGACCCUGUCAUAGUUGAAUUUAGAAAGGAGGUAAUAUAAAUGUUGGUUGUGAUUGCAAGAGAUCUAAGAAUCCUGUCCCGAAUAACAUAAAUUUCAAUAUUAGUAAGUAGUUUUGGGAAAGCGUAUUUUCACAUAUUCAUCGCUGGAUUUCAAUUUAAUGUCAAAAUAGUGUGUAGAGCUAAUCAUGCUUUUUUAGCAUUGAUACCAAAGAUUGAGAAUUUGGUGACGCUAAACUAUUCUAAUGGCAAAAUAGUGUGUAGAGCUAAUAAUGCUUUUUUAGCAUUGAUUCCAAAGAUUGAUAAUUCGGUGACGCUAAACUAUUCUAAUGGAAAAACAGUGUGUAGAGCUAAUAAUGCUUUUUUAGCAUUGAUUUCAAAGAUUGAGAACUCGGUGACGCUAAACUAUUCUAAUGGGAAAAUAGUGUGUAGAGCUAAUAAUGUGUUUUUAGCAUUGAUUCUAAAGAUUUAGAAUUUGAUGAAGCUAAACUAAUUUACGUCGAUAUCUUUAAUUGGCAGCAUGUGGCUAAAAUGUUAUAUUUGUUUACAAUUUAAGGUCUUAAAGGGCCGACAUAUGGUAGAUGGAAUACUCAUACCAAAUGAGUUAGUAAAUGAUGUUCAAAGUGGAUAUAAAAACAUAUAUGAUUUUGUGGACUGGAAAUAUUUAGAUUAUGACGGGAUUUAAAAUUAAAUGGAGAUGCUGGAUUUUAGAAUAUCUUUGAUCAUCAACUAUUUUAGCGUUGGUCAAUGGAAGUCUCACAAAAAAAUCCAAAGAUGCUAAAGGUCUAUCGCCUUUUUAUUCUUUUGAGUGUUUAGUUCCAUAGAGGUGAUGUUCACUUCUCGCGUAUGCAGUAUGCAAAUGAUACCUUAAUUGUGCGAAAAAGUUGGCAACACAUGAGGGCCAUGAUGGACAAUUUACAGUUAUUUGAGUUAAUAUCUGGUCUUUAAAUAAAAUUUCAUAAAAGUAUUUUAGUUUGAGUCAAAUGAAUCAGCAAAUCAAAUUUAAGGUUGGAAAUACUUCGACGUUUCUGAUGGUUGUAAUCAUAAAAUAAUGAAGUUAUUGAAAUUGGUGAUUAAUAGUGUCCGGAAGAUUGUCCAAGUGGAAUAAUUAGUGCUUAUCUACAUGUGGCCGAAUCAUCCUUCUAAACAUUGUUAUAGGUAUUACCGGUCUAUUUCAUUUCUUUCUCUAAAGCUUUGUUAGAUAUUAUUUCUAAUUUGAUUCUCUCUUUAAAAAUUUCUUGUGGGUUGGAAGAUUGGAAAGCAUAAAAAUAAGUUGGGUUCAUUAAAAAUAUGUAUGCUAGGAAAGAAAGGAAGGGGGGAUCUAGGUAUACAAAAUUCAAGGGUGUUCAACUUAACUCUUAGGAAAGUGUGUGGGUUAAUGUUUUAAUAAGUAAAUAUGGGUUGUGGGACUUUAAUUACAUUGGUUCUUUGAAAUGUUGUGCAUGAAAUUAGGAAGGGGAGUUUAAUCACAUUUUUGGACUCCUUGGUUAAAAGGAAUAAUCUUGAAAAACUGGUUAGUGGGUCUGUUUGAUUUAAUUGAGAACAAAAAGGCUUCAUUUAAGGAAUUGCUGAUUCAUUUGACUGAGAAUGAAGAAUUAUUCAUUUCAUUUGACUGUUUCUUGUAAAAUUAUGUGGCAAUUGUAUUUUAAAGUGAGAUGAGAUUAUAGUUGUCUAAUGUUGCAGAGUUGACAAGUGAUAAUACAUAGAGGGAAAAGAAAAGCGAUAUGAUGAUAGAAAUUCAUUUGUUUGUCAAUCCACUAAUAUUCUUAGUGUGUAGAGCUAAUAAUGCUUUUUUAGCAUUUAUUCCAAAGAUUGAGAAUUUUGUGGCCCUAAACUAUUCUAAUGGGAAAAUAGUGUGUAGAGCUAAUAAUGCGUUUUUAGCAUUGAUUCCAAAGAUUGAGAAUUCGGUGAAGCUAAACUAUUUUAGGUCGAUAUCUUUAAUUGGCAGCAUGUGGCUAAAAAAGUUAUCUUUGAUUUACAAUUUGCAGUCUUAAAGGGACGACAUAUGGUAGUUACUCAUAGAAAAUGAGUUAGUAAAUGAUGUUCAAAGUGGAUUUAAAAAAAGUAUAUGAUUUUGUGAACCGGAAAUAUUUGGACUUUGACAGGAUUUAACGUCAAAUGAAGAUGCUAGAUUUCAGAGUGUCCUUGAUCAUCAACUAUUUUAGCGUUGGUCAGUGGAAAUCUCACAAAAAAUCCGAAGAUGGUAAAGUUCUAUCGCCUUUUUAUAUUUUUGAGUGUUUAGUUCCCUAGAGGUGAUGUUUCACUUCUCGCAUAUGCAGUAUGCAAAUGAUACUUUAAUUGUGGGAAAAAGUUGGCAACACAUGAGGGCCAUGAUGGCAAAUUUACAGUUAUUUGAGUUAAUAUCCGGUCUUUAAAUAAACUUUCAUAAAAGUCUUUUGGUUUGAGUCAGAUGAAUCAGCAAAUCAAAUUUUAAGGUUGGAAAUAAUUGGAUGUUUCUGAUGGUUGUAAUCAUAUAAGAAAGAAGUUAUUGAAAUUGGUGAUUAAUAUAGUGUCAGGAAGAUUGUUCAAUAAUUAGUGCUUAUCUACAUGUGGCCGAAUCAUCCUUCUAAACAUUGUUAUACGCAUUACUUGUAAAUUUAUUUCUUUCUUUAAAGGUAUGUUAGAUAUUAUUUCUAAUUUGAUUCUCUCUUUAAAAAUUUCUUGUGGGUUUAGCAUAAAAAUAAUUCAAGGGUGUUCGAAAUUCAAGGGUGUUCAACCUAACUUUAUUAGGAAAGUGCGUGGGUUAAGGUUUUAAAAAGUAAAUAUUGUGAAAUAUUUGGUAAAGUGAGUAAAAUUGAGAGAAUGAGGUCAGCUUGGUGGCAGGACAUAAAAAUGGUGGAAAGUGGGUCGUGGGACUUUAAAUUAAAUUGGUUCUUUGAAAGGUUGUGCAUGAAAUUAGGAAGUGGAGUUGAAUCACAUUUUUGGACUCCUUGGAUAAAAGGAAUACUCUUGAAAAAUAGGUUAGUGGUACGGUUUGAUUUAUAAUCGAGAACAAAAAGGCUUCAUUUAAGGCAUUGGUGUUUCAUUUGACUGGUUUUCUUGUAAAAUCAUGUGGCAAAUUGAAUUUUUAGGGGACAUGUGGUUAUAGUUGUCUAAUGUUACAGAGUUGGCAAGUGAUAAUACAUAGAGGGAAAAGAAAAGCGAUAUGAUGAUAGAAAUUCACUGUCUAUCAAUUCACUGAUAUUCUUUGAUGUAAUUCAUGAAUCCCGACAGGUUCUGAUCGCAUUCAUAUUUCCCUCUUGUGCUUGAUUUGUUUAUUUCUUGAAGAAAAGCAGGGGCUAUAUUGAAUAUAUUGUCAUUAUAUUUCGUUAGUCCUAUUCCAAAUCCAGAUAGAGAUUCGAGAACAUUGUGACUAGUCCGAUGAAACUCGCAAGUGCAGUAUAGCUCGAGAAAUGAGAUACAUGUCGCGAUUGGUUCAAACAAGAUGAUGCAACUCAGAAGCUCGACACAGGAUGUGACUAUAAAUCAGAAGGACUUACAAUCUCCAAUACCCGGUAACAUUGACCGAUCCCAUAAAUAAGCUUUUUUACAUAUACUAUAUAGCGAUGCAGUAAUGUUUUUGCUGGUUAAACAUUUGCGAGCUAAUAAUUACAGAACAUAUAAUAAAUAUUCAUGUGCUGUCUGACCUAAGUUAUUGGUAGGAUGAAUGCUAAAUGGGAUUAUUUUGUUGUUUGUAAUGGAUUUUGAUUUUGCCAUGGUUACCUGCACAUGUGAGUAAUGGUAGAGAAGAUGGAUAUUAAAUGAAUUUGAUUCACUUAUUGAGUAUGUUGAAGCAGCUUUUGGGAGAAAUCUCCGUCAAAGUUUCACUUAUCUGGUGUAGAAUUUACGUCGUAUAAUUUAGUCGGUUUGCAAAUUCUUAUCGAGUAGUAUUCUUGAGCAGAGGGGAUCUGAUUGUUAUAGGUGAAUUGGAUGGACAAUAUUCUGUGUUUGUAGAAUGUGCAGUUGCAUAGAGCUGCUGUGAAUGUCUUGCGUCACUCAAAGCUCCCAUAUCGGGAUGAAAUCGACUCACAAUGAAAACCAUAGUGGCAAUGUGAUGCCGGUGUCGACGAUAAAGUUUGUUAGGGCAGAUCUGUGAGUGGAGGUGAGACAUGAAUCCCCGUGUUAAUACUGCUGAUACCGCCAUUUGGAAGAUAAGUAUUUCUCACACAUUCUAUUCACAUAGUAUGAUUAACUAUUAUUUGUUUACAAUGCUUUGUUUGAUGAUCCAAUGUCAUAUAACUCAACUUAUAAUGUCUAUGUGUUAUCUAUAUGUUGUGGUGUCGAUUUCUGUAUGUCUUGCAAUGCAUUUUGAUUUUAGAGUUACAUUUGGAAGAUUGUGAAAAUUGUUGGGACUAACAGGAUGGCUGGGAAAUCAAAUCAAAUAUCUCCUGUCUCUAUUCAUCUCAGCAUCUACCUGCCAAGUGUUGUCAAUUUGAUGCCGGUAGAUCUGCCUAUUUUAGAAAAGGUCGCAAUAGAGGGACAACCAGAAGUAAGCAUCCGUGAUGACAACGACUACAUAUCGAGUCUCAUAGGAGGAUAAAUAAAGAUUGCAAUGAUCGGAGAUGACAAGUCACGCUCUAAUGUCAUCGUAAAAGAGUCGGAUUGAUAAUAACAAUGACAGGAUUUAACGUCAAAUGGAGAUGCUAGAUUUCAGAGUGUCCUUGGUCAUCAACUAUUUUAGCGUUGGUCAGUGGAAGUCUCACAAAAAAAUCCGAAGAUGGUAAAGUUCUAUCACCUUUUUAUAUUUUUGAGUGUUUAGUUCCCUAGAGGUGAUAUUUCACUUCUCGCAUAUGUAGUAUGCAAAUGAUACCUUAAUUGUGGGAAAAAGUUAGCAACACAUGAGGGCCAUGAUGGCAAAUUUAUAGUUAUUUGAGUUAAUAUGCGGUCUUUAAAUAAACUUUCAUAAAAGUCUUUUGGUUUGAGUCAGAUGAAUCAGCAAAUCAAAUUUUAAGGUUGGAAAUACUUGGAUGUUUCUGAUGGUUGUAAUCAUAUAAGAAAGAAGUUAUUGAAAUUGGUGAUUAAUAUAGUGUCAGGAAGAUUGUUCAAGUGGAAUAAUUAGUGCUUAUCUACAUGUGGCCGAAUCAUCCUUCUAAACAUUGUUAUACGCAUUACCGGUAAAUUUCAUUUCUUUCUUUAAAGGUCUGUUAGAUAUUAUUUCUAAUUUGAUUCUCUCUUUAAAAAUUUCUUGUGGGUUGGAAGAUUGGAAAGCAUAAAAAUAAGCCGAGUUCAUUGGAAAAAGGUAUGCUAGGAAAGAGAGGAAGGGGGGAUCUAGGUAUACAAAAUUCAAGGGUGUUCAACCUAACUCUAUUUGGAAAGUGUGUGGGUUAAGGUUUUAAAAAGUAAAUAUGGUGAAAUCUUUGGUAAAUUGAGAGAAUGGGGUCAGCUUGGUGGCAAAAUAGUAUGUAGAGCUAAUAAUGCUUUUUUAGCAUUGAUUCUAAAGAUUGAGAAUUCUGUGCACUAAACUAUUCUAAUGGGAAAAUAGUGUGUAGAGCUAAUAAUGUGUUUUUAGCAUUGAUUCCAAAGAUUAAAAAUUUGAUGAAGCUAAACUAUUUUAUGUCGAUAUCUUUAGUUGGCGGGAUUUAAUGUUAAAUGGAGAUGCUGGAUUUCAGAAUGUUUGAUCAUCAACUAUUUCAGCGUUGGUCAAUGGAAGUCUCACAAAAAUAUCCGAAGAUGAUAAAGGUCCAUCGCCUUUUUAUAUUUUUGAGUGUUUAGUUCCAAAGACGUGAUGUUCACUUCUCGCAUAUGCAGUAUGCAAAUGAUACCUCAAUUGUGGGAAAAAGUUGGCAACAUAUGAUACUGUUUUGGGUGACUACUAAGCUAAAAAGAUCAUAUGAAAGCAAGACUACUAGUCUUAGGGAUAUCGAAAAAUCAUUCAGACUGGGAAGUCUGAUGCAAUGUAUUGUGUUACAUGGAAUUGGUAGAGGGAAAUUAGUAAGGUAUUAAGGAUGGUUUUUGUGAGUUUUAUAUUAUGCGUGGAUGGUUUUGUGUGUUUUAAGCCUCACUUUGAUUCAGGUGCGGAUGGUUAUAUAUUGUUGAGCAUUUUAUCACAUGUUCAGUUAUUUUGAAAUCUUUUGUGCAGUAAUACGCCAAAAGGGUUUGAAUUGGGUAUCCAAAUUUGCAUUUGAUAGAACAAUGAGAUACAUACAUAUUUAUUAUUAAUAGAGAUUGUAGGUGAUAAAUAUUGUUAUCUUACAAUUUUGGCAUAGUAUAUGAUUCUUUAAGCCACUAAUAGUAAGUAACCUUGCUUCCAUCAGGAAAAAGUAUGAUUUCUUAUCUACAGUCUUGUAAUGGGGAUAUUGAACUUAUAUAUAGCAGCCUGUUCCACAUAUUUUUUAAUGUUUGCAUUUUUCUCGAAGGGGGAAGGAGAAUGACGGUGUAUAAGUGCAAGGUGGACAGCUAGCUAUGAAAGAAGCGUGUCUGGUGGCAACAAUGGGUUGGAAAAUCAUGAUUUGGAAUCAGAAUAAGAAGUGCAUAAAAGAGGGAAGGAGGAACGUGUGAUGCAGGAAAUUCGUGAGGUUCGUGAGGUUGUUCUCACAUCAGUAGCAUUGUUUUUGGUUACAUUUCCUCCAAGGAGAAUUACCUCCACCCAUUGAUCUGUUCCUCUUUCAAUAUACUGUUAUGGUUAAUUAGCACAACAGAAUUCAAUACAAUCGCCCCUUUUCUAGCAAGAGCAGUCACAUGUGAACAAAACCUCUCCUUUUGUUACAAGUCUGCUACUGGCCUUAACUGAUUGAAGACCUUAAACUUCAGGAAUGCAAUCAAUGAGAUGGACUAGUUCCUCCAAAUUCCUGAUGUAGAUGUCCAAAUACUUGUGGAAGCUGCGAGUAUAUUUUCAUUUUUUGGGAUUGCAAUGCCGAGAAGGUUGUCCAAGUGGAAUAACCGAUGCUUAUUUAUUGAUGGUCGAAUCAUUCUUCUGAAAUCUGUCUUGUACGCAUUAGUUGUUUAUUCCUCUUUCUUUCUUUGAAGCCCUGAGAGGUAUUAUUUCUAAUCUUGAGUUUCUCUUUAAAAUUUUCUUAUGAGGUGAAGGAUUGGAAGGCAAAAAAAUAAGUUAGUUCAUUGGGAAAAGGUGUGCUAGGAAAGAGAGGAUGGCGGUCUAGGUCUAAUUUAGUCGGUUUGCAAAUUGGAUCGAGUAAUGUGCAGUUGCAUAGAGUUGCUGUGAACGUCUUGCGUCACUUGAAGCUCCCAGAUCGGGAUGAAAUCGGCUCACAAUGAAAAUCAUAGUGCCAAUGUGAUGCCGAUGUCGACAAUAGAGUUUGUUAGGGCAGAUCUGCGAGUGGAGGUGAGACAAGAAUCACCAUGUUAAUACUGCUGAUACCACCAUUUGGAAGAUAAGUAUUUCUCACACAUUCUAUUCACCUAGUAUGAUUAACUAUUGUUUGUUUACAAUGUUUUGUUUGGUGAUCUAAUGUCAUAUAACUCAACUUACAAUGUGUAUGUGUUAUCUAUAUGUUGUGGUGUCUAUUUCUUUAUGUCUUACAAUGCAUUUUGAUUUUAGAGUUACAUUUGGAAGAUUGUGAAAAUUGUUGGGACAAAUUACCACUGCUAUGAUUCGAAAGGAAAUUGAAGAUGACACUAUCAGGAUGGCUGGGAAAUCAAAUCAAAUAUCUCGUACCGCCAUUUGGAAGAUAAGUAUUUCUCACACAUUCUAUUCACCUAGUAUGAUUAACUAUUGUUUGUUUACAAGACUUUGUUUAGUGAUCUAAUGUCAUAUAACUCAACUUACAAUGUGUAUGUGUUAUCUAUAUGUUGUGGUGUCUAUUUCUGUAUGUCUUGCAAUGCAUUUUGAUUUUAGAGUUACAUUUGGAAGAUUGUGAAAAUUGUUGCGACAAAUUACCACUGCUAUGAUUCGAAAAGAAAUUGAAGAUGACACUAACAGGAUGGCUAGGAAAUCAAAUCAAAUAUCUCAUGUCUCUAUUCAACUCAGCAUCUACCUGUCAAGUGUUGUCAAUUUGAUGCCGGUAGAUCUGCCUGUUUUAGCAAAGGUCGCAGUAGAGGGACAACCAGAAGGUUGUUUCUACCAGGAUAGUGGGUGAACCGAUACGCUAUUUGUAUGGCGUGGCUAUAAUGUUUUAUUACUACUUUUAAAUGUUUGCAGUAAGCAUCCGUAAUGACAACGGCUACGUAUCAAGUCUCAUGGGAGGAGAAAUCAAGAUUGCAAUGAUCGGAGAUGACAAGACAAGCUCUAAUGUCAUUGUAAAAGAGUCGGAUUGAAAAUAACAACAACAGAGUUGACAAGUGAUAGGCACAUAGAGGGAAAAGAAAAGUGAUAUGAUGAUAGAAAUUCAUUUGUAUCCACCGGUAUUCUUUGAUGUAAUUCAUGAAUCCCGACAGGUUCUGAUAAAUUUCAUAUUUCCCUUUCUUGCUUGAUUUGUUUUCUUAAUUUCUUGUGUUUCUUAAUUUGGUGAUGUAACUUUAUCAAUUAUUUAUGGUUUUUGAAUUGUUUGCUUGAUUUGUUUUUUUAAUUUCUUGUGUUUCUUAAUUUGGUGAUGUAAAUUUAUUAAUUAUUUAUGGUUUUUGAAUUGUUUUCAAAAUUCUGCAGAUGAUGAAAUUGUGUAAAUGGGUAAUUUGCAUCUGAAUUUCAUUAAUGUUAAUAUCACCUUAGAGAACUAAUGCCCCUAAGUCUAUGGGUAUAUAUUUUUGUUAGUUUGUUUAUUGUUUUGUUUUCUGUUUUUUUGGAUCGUCUAAUCUAAUUAUGCUUUAUGAAGUCUUCAAUUAUUUCUUAGGUCGAUCUAGAGACAAAAAGAGGGAAAGACCGAUUGCAUUAUGCAUUAUGAAGUUUUCAAUUAUUUCUUAGGUCGAUCUAGAGACAAAAAGAGGGAAAGACCGAUUGCAUUAUGCAUUAUGAAGUUUUCAAUUAUUUCUUUAGUCUAUCUAGAGACAAAAAGAGGGAAAGACCAGAAUUUUUAAUUUAAAUGCAUUAGAGAUGAAGAUUUGUUAAAAUAGUAAGUGCCUGACCAAAGUAAAAUGAGAUUUAUAAGACUAAUCAGGGCGAUCAUGGUUUUGAUUAUUUGGUUUGAAUUACUGUUGGAAAAAGGCUGCUAUGGAGUAAAUUGAUGGAGUUGAUCAAAUCAAAAACAUGUCAGGUGCUAGAUGUUGCGUGAUGGGAAAAAAUAGGUCAGUGGUACUGUUUGAUUUAUAAUUAAGAAUAAAAAGGCUUCAUUUAAGGCAUUGGUGAUUCAUUUGACUGAGAAUAUAGAAUUAUGCAUUUCAUUUACUGGUUUUCUUGUAAAAUCACAGAGGGAAAAGAAAAGCGAAGUGAUGAUAGAAAUUCAUUUGUCUGUCAAUCCGCUGAUAUUCUUUGAUGAAAUUCAUGAAUCCUGACAGGAUUUAACGUCAAAUGGAGAUGCUAGAUUUCAGAGUGUCCUUGAUCAUCAACUAUUUUAGCGUUGGUCAGUGGAAGUCUCACAAAAAAAUCCGAAGAUGGUAAAGAUCUAUCACCUUUUUUUAUUUUUGAGUGUUUAGUUCCCUAGAGGUGAUGUUUCAUUUCUUGCAUAUGCAGUAUGCAAAUGAUACCUUAAUUGUGGGAAAAAGUUGGCAACACAUGAGGGCCAUGAUGGCAAAUUUACAGUUAUUUGAGUUAAUAUCCGGUCUUUAAAUAAACUUUCAUAAAAGUCUUUUGGUUUGAGUCAGAUGAAUCAGCAAAUCAAAUUUUAAGGUUGGAAAUACUUGGAUGUUUCUGAUGGUUGUAAUCAUAUAAGAAAGAAGUUAUUGAAAUUGGUGAUUAAUAUAGUGUCAGGAAGAUUGUUGAAGUUGAAUAAUUAGUGCUUAUCUACAUGUGGCCGAAAAAUCAUUCAGACUGGGAAGUCUGAUGCAAUGUAUUGUGUUACAUGGAAUUGGUAGAGGGAAAUUAAUAAGGGAUUAAGGAUGGUUUUUGUGAGUUUUAUAUUAUGCGUGGAUGGUUUUGUGUGUUUUAAGCCUCACUUUGAUUCAGGUGCGGAUGGUUAUAUAUUGUUGAGCAUUUUAUCACAUGUUCAGUUAUUUUGAAAUCUUUUGUGCAGUAAUAUGCCAAAAGGGUUUGAAUUGGGUAUCCAAAUUUGCAUUUGAUAGAACAAUGAGAUACAUACAUGUUUAUUAUUAAUAGAGAUUGUAGGUGAUAAAUAUUCUUAUCUUACAAAUUUGGCAUAAUAUAUGAUUCUUUAAGCCACUGAUAGUAAGUAACCUUGCUUCUAUCAGAAAAAGUAUGAUUUCUUAUCUACAGUCUUGUAAUGGGGAUAUUGAACUUAUAUAUAGCAGCCUGUUCCACAUAUUUUUUAAUGUUUGCAUUUUUCUCAAAGGGGGAAGGAGAAUGACGGUGCAUAAGUCCAAGGUGGACAGCUAGCUAUGAAAGAAGCGUGUAGAUGUCCUUUGGUUACAAGUCUGCUACUGUCCUUAACUGAUUCAAGACCUUAAACUUCAGGAAUGCAAUCAAUGAGAUGGACUAAUUCCUCCAAAUUCCCGAUGUAGAUGUCCGAAUACUUGUGGAAGCUGCGAGUAUAUUUUCAUUUUCUGGGAUUGCAAUGCCGAGAAGGUUGUCCAAGUGGAAUAACUGAUUAGAAAUGAGUUUGGAAAAUUGUGAUUGAAGGAAUGCCGAGAAGGUUGUCCAAGUGGACUAACCGAUGCUUAUUUAUUGAUGGUCGAUUCAUCCUUCUGAAAUCUGUCUUGUACGCAUUAGUUGUUUAUUCCUCUUUCUUUCUUUGAAGCCAUGUGAGGUAUUACUUCUAAUCUUGAGUCUCUCUUUAAAAUUUUCUUAUGAGGUGAAGGAUCGGAAGGCAAAAAAAUAAGUUAGUUCAUUGGGAAAAGGUGUGCUAGGAAAGAGGCGGUCUAGGUAUAAAAAUUUAAGGGCGUUCAACCUAGCACUGUUAAGAAAAUAGGAAUGGAAAUUACCUAAGGUGACAUGGUUCAUUGGUUUUAUGUAAAAUUAAAAGUUGCAAAGUUGUAUUUUUAUGUGGCAAUUGUAUUUUAAGGUGACAUGAGAUUAUAGUUGUCUAAUGUUGUAAAGUUGACAAGUGAUAGGUACAUAUGUGAUAAUGAGUGAGAAUUAAAAGUUGGGAUAUAAGAUGAUGUAUUGGUUAAUUGCGAAUAGGCGUGUGUUUGUGUGACAGUGAUCUCUUGUGAGUUGCUGUGUAAUGUCACUGCCGAGAAGAAAACUAUAAUCCUUAGAGUGUAAUUUCAAUGUGUUAAGAGAUAAUCAAUAGUUCUAAUAGGAAGAAAGUUAUAAGAUAUUAGAGUUACUAUCUAAGUAUUUAGCAUAAUAACUGUUCCUUGAUGUUUAUUUUGGAAAUUGCCUAUAUUGUAAGAAAUUUGUUUACUUAAAUGUACUUAUACAAGCCUCCUAUUUCAUUUGGUUUAGUUAACGAUAAAUCUCGUGUUUUGACCGUUAGUUUGAGAUCCAUUCAGGGUCGGCUCCCCAUAUGCUUGAUGAAAAGCAGGGGCUAUAUUGAAUCUAUCAUUCUAUUGUCAUUGUAUUUUGCAGUCCUCUUCCAGAUCCAGAUAGAGAUUCGAGAACAUUGCCACCAGUUCGAUGAAACUCGCAAGUGCAGUAUAGCUCGAGAAAUGAGAUAUAUGUCGCGACUGGUUCAAACAAGAUGAUGCAACUCAGAAGCUCGACAUAGGGUGUGACUAUAAAUUGUAAGGACUCACAAUCUCCAAUACUCGGCGACAUUGACCGUUACUGACAAUCUCCAAUACCCGGCAACAUUGACCGAUCCCACAGACAAGUUUUUUUACAUAUACUAUGUGGUGAUGCAGUAUGGUUUUUGCCGGUUAAACAUUUGCGAGCUAAUAAUUACAGAACAUAUAAUAAAUAUUCAUGUACUGUCUGACCUGAGAUAUUGGUAGGAUGAAUGCUAAAUGUGAUUAUUUUUGUUGUUUGUAAUGGAUUUUGAUUUUGCCAUGGUUACCUGCACAUAUGAAUAAUGGUAGAGAAGAUGGAUAUUAAAUGAAUUUGGUUCACUUAUUGAGUAUGUUCAAACAGCUUUUGGGAGAAAUCUCCGUCAGUUUCACUUAUCUGGCGUAGAAUUUGCAUCGUAUAAUUUAGUCAGUUUGCGAAUUGGAUCGAGUAAUGUGCAGUUGCAUAGAGCUGCUGUGAACGUCUUGCGUCACUCGAAGCUCCCAGAUCGGGAUGAAAUCGGCUCACGAUGAAAAUCAUAGUGCCAAUGUGAUGUCGAUGUCGACAAUAGAGUUUGUUAGGGCAGAUCUGCGAGUGGAGGUGAGACAUGAAUCACAAUGUUAAUACUGCUGAUACCACCAUUUGGAAGAUAAGUAUUUCUCACACAUUCUAUUCACCUAGUAUGAUUAACUAUUGCUUGUUUACAACGCUUUGUUUGGUGAUCUAAUGUCAUAUAACUCAACUUACAAUGUGUAUGUGUUAUCAAUAUGUUGUGGUGUCUAUUUCUGGAUGUCUUACAAUGCAUUUUGAUUUUAGAGUUACAUUUGAAAGAUUGUGAAAAUUGUUGGGACAAAUUACCACUCCUAUGAUUCGAAAAGAAAUUGAAGAUGACACUAACAGGAUGGCUGGGAAAUCAUAUUAAAUAUCUCUUGUCUCUAUUCAACUCAGCAUCUACCUGUCAAGUGUUGUCAAUUUGAUGCCGGUAGAUCUGCCUGUUUUAGCAAAGGUCGCAGUAGAGGGACAACCAGAAGUAAGCAUCCAUAAUGACAACGAAUACAUAUCGAGUCUCAUGGGAGAAGAAAUCACGAUUGCAAUGAUAGGAGAUGACAAGACAAGCUCUAAUGUCAUCGUAAAAGAGUCGGAUUGAAAAUAACAACAACAGGUUAGCGUUUCUUUUGCUUCUACUUCUCGAAUAUGAAUGGAAAUGUGUCAUCCUAUGUUCCAAACCGGACGUGGAAGUUAAGGUGUUUAAGGUGAAUCAUGUGUACCAAUUACAAUAGCUUCAGAUCAGUUGCUCUCGCAAAUAGUAAUAGAUUUCUAGGAGUUGUAACCGAGCAAGAAAGUUCACCCACGAUGAAACCUGAAGCUGGUAUAUUCGAGAAACAUGGACCUUGAUGGCUUCGGUGAUUAUGGUACUGUUUUAGGUGACUACUAAGCUAAAAGGAUCAUAUGAAAGAAAGACUACUAGUCUUAGGGAUAUCGAAAAAUCAUACAGACUGGGAAGUCUGAUGCAAUGUAUUGUGUUACACGGAAUAGGAUCACAUUAUUUACAACUUUAUCACGAAAUUGUUAUCGGAAUUCUUUCCCUCCUCUUUCUAAAAUAUAAAUUUGGUUCUAUUUUUGGUAAAGAUUAUGUUAGAAUGAUUUCAAGUUAUCCUUACCCGGAUUUUUCCAAGGAAUUGACUGAGAAUGUAGAAUUAUUCACUUCGUUUGACUGGUUUUCUUGUAAAAUUAUGCGACAGUAUUUUAAAGUGACAUGAGAUUAUAGUUGUCUAAUGUUGAAGAGUUGACAAGUGAUAGACACAUAGAGGGAAAAGAAAAGCGAUAUGAUGAUAGAAAUUCAUUUGUCUGUCAAUCCACCGACAUUCUUUGAUGUAAUUCAUGAAUCCCGACAGGUUUUGAUCAAUUUCAUAUUUCCCUUUCUUGCUUGAUUUGUUUUCUUAAUUUCUUGUGUUUCUUAAUUUGGUGAGGUAACUUUAUCAAUUAUUUAUGAUUUUUGAAUUGUUUGCUUGAUUUGUUUUCUUAAUUUCUUGUGUUUCUUAAUUUGGUGAUGUAACUAUAUCAAUUACUUAUGGUUUUUGAAUUGUUUUUCAGAAUUCUGCAGAUGAUGAUGAAAUUGUGUAAAUGGGUAAUUUGCAUCUGAAUUUCAUUGAUGUUAAUAUCACCUUAGAGAACUGAUGCCCCUAAGUCUAUGGGUAUAUAUUUUUGUUAGUUUGUUUAUUGUUUUGUUUUCUGUUUUUUUGGAUCCAUCUAAUCUAAUUAUGCAUUAUGAAGUCUUCAAUUAUGUCUUAGGUCGAUCUAGAGACAAAGAGGGAAAGACCGAUUGCAUUAUGCAUUAUGAAGUUUUCAAUUAUUUCUUAGGUUGAUCUAGAGACAAAAGAGGGAAAGACCGAUUUCAUUAUGCAUUAUGAAGUUUUCAAUUAUUUCUUAAGUCUAUCUAGAGACAAAAAGAGUUAAAGACCAUAAUUUUGAAUUUAAAUGCAUUAUAGAUAUAGAAAAUGAUGUUCUCAUAGCUGAACUUAGAGAGAAGGAAAUAAGAAAUGUUUGGGAUUCUGAGAGUUUGAAGUUCUUUGAUUCAUAGCAUAAAUUUCAGUUUUAUUAAUGAGCUUUAGGAUUUAAUUAAAGCAGACUUUCAUAUUCAUUGUUGAAUUUAAUUCGAAUGGCGUAAGAGUGCGUGGAGCUAUUAAUGCUUUUUAGCUUUGAAUCCAAAGAUAAAGAAUCUAGUGAAACUAAGCCAAUUUCUUUAAUUGGCAGCAUCUAGAACGUGAAGCCAGGCCAAUAUCUUUAAUUGGCAGCAUCUAGAAAUUCUUAGUAAUGUUAUAUGCAAAUAGAUUGAAGGUGGCUGAUACAAAAGCUAAUUCGCAAUUCGCCAAAUGCCAAAUAGGAGGAAAAAACAAGUGUGACCCCUGAAUCGCAAUUCGCCGAAGGUCAAAUAGGAGGAAAAAAAGAUGUUUAAAGUGGAUUUUGAAAAAGCAUAUGAUUUGUCGACUUGAAAUAGUCCCAAAACUCUAUGAUAUUUGUUUGUUUUAUUUUUAUUAAUCCAUCUAAUCUAAAUUGACCGUAUCAUUAAACUUAUCAUCGUACUAGAAUGAAUUGUUUAUUGCUACAUGGUUGGAUCAAUUGAUUUGUGAUUGAAUUAUAUUAUAAUUGUCCCUUCAUUGGCACUAAUGACACUGCCAUAGUUGAAUUUAGAAAGGAGGUAAUAGAAAUGUUGGUUGUGAUUGCAAGAGAUCUAAGAAUCCUGACCCGAAUAACAUAAAUUUCAAGUUUAGUAAGUAGUUUUCGGAAAGUGUAUUUUCACAUAUUCAUUGCUGAAUUUCAAUUUAAUGUCAAAAUAGUGAGUAAAGCUAAUAAUGCUUUUUUAGCAUUGAUUCCAAAGAUUGAGAAUUCGGUGACGCUAAACUAUUCUAAUGGCAAAAUCGUGUGUAGAGCUAAUAAUGCUUUUUAGCAUUGAUUCCAAAGAUUGAGAAUUCGGUGACGCUAAACUAUUCUAAUGGCUUUCAUUGGUGAAGAAUGGUGGUGAUGUUGUGUCUUGGAGAACGAUGAUUUCUUCUCUAGUGGAAACUGGUAAAUUGGGUGAAGCUUUUGAAAUCUAUGUCAAAAUGAUUGAAGCAGGUGUUUACCCGAAUGAGUUCAUGUUUGUUAAACUGUUAGGUGCGGUAUGAUGGAACGAAGAGAUCCCACCACAAACACAUGUUUAUCUGCAAGACUAAACCAGAAGGGGGACCAUGGAAUGGCAUUAAACGUUUUCAUUCACAUGUGCAAUGACGGGGUUAAGAUGGAUGAAUUCAUUUUGGCAAGUUUUUUAUCAGCUGCAGCUGGUUUAGGCACAAUGGAAGCUGGAAAGCAGAUUCAUUGUUAUUCAGUCAAAUCAGGCUUCCAGAGAUAUAACUCAGUUCCAGAGAUAUAUCUAUAUGUGGCAAUUGUAUUGUAAGGUGACAUGAGAUUAUAGUUGUCUAAUGUUGCAGAGUUGACAAGUGAUAAUACAUAGAGGGAAAAGAAAAGCUAUACGAUGAUAGAAAUUUAUUUGUCUGUCAAACCACUGAUAUUCUUUGAUGUAAUUCAUGAAUCCCGACAAGUUCUAAUAGCUUUCACAUUUCCCUCUCUUGCUUGAUUUCUUGAGUUUCUCGAUUUGUUGAAUUAAUUAUUCAUGGUUUUUGAAUAGUUAUCAGAAUUAGGCAAAUGAUGAAUCUGAAAUGGUGUAAAUGGGUAAUUCACAUCUAAAUAUCGUUGAUGUUAAAAUCACCUUGGAUAACUGAUGCCCUAAAUUCUAUGGAUAUUUAUGUUUGUUAGUUUGUUUCUGUGUUUUGUUCUCUGUUUUUUGGGAUCAAUCUAAUCUAAAAUGACUUUAGCAUUAAAAUUAUCAUAGUACUAAAAUGAAUUGGUCAUUGCUACAUGGAUGGAUCACUUGAUUUGUGAUUGAAUUAUAUUUUUGUUGUCCCUUCAUUGGCACCAAUGACACUGUCAUAAUUGAAUUUAAAGAGGAGCUAAUAGAAUUGUUGGUUGUGAUUGCGAGGGAUCGAAGAAAUGUGGGUUGUGAUUGCGAGAGAUCAAAGAAUCCUGACCCGAAUAACAUAAAUUUCAAGUUUAUUAAGUUGUUUUGGGAUAGCCUACUUUCACAUGUUCAUUGCUGAAUUACAUUCUAAUGGCAAAAUAGUGUGUUGAGCUAAUAUUGCUUUUGAAGCAUUGAUUCCAAAGAUUGAGAAUUCGGUGACACAUAACUAUUCUAAUGGGAAAAUAGUGUGUAGAGCUAAGAAUGCGUUUUUAGCAUUUAUUCCAAAGAUUGAGAAUUUUGUGACGCUAAACUAUUCUAAUGACAAAAUAGUGUGUAGAGCUAAUAAUGCUUUUUUAGCAUUGAUUCCAAAGAGUGAGAAUUCGGUGAAGCGAAACUAUUCUAAUGGCAAAAUUGUGUGUAGAGCUAAUAAUGCUUUUUUAGCAUUGAUUCCAAAGAUUUAGAUUCGGUGACACUAAACUAUUCUAAUGGGAAAAUAGUGUGUAGAGCUAAUAAUGCAUUUUUAGCAUUGAUUCCAAAGAUUGAGAAUUUGGUGACGCUAAACUAUUCAAAUGGAAAAAUUAUGUGUAGUGCUAAUAAUUCUUUUUUAGCAAUGAUUCCAAAGAUAGAGAAUUCCGUGACCUUAAUCUAUUCUAAUGGCAAAAUAGCGUGGAGAGCUAAUAAUGUGUUUUUAAUAUUGAUUCCAAAGAUUGAGAGUUCGGUGAAGCUAAACUAUUUUAAUGGCAAAAUAGUGUGAAGAGUUAAUGGCAAAAAUUUCUAAUUUGUUUAUAUAUAUGUGGCAAUUGUAUUGUAAGGUGACAUGAGAUUAUAGUUGUCUAAAGUUGUAGAGUUGGCAAGUGAUAAUACAUGGAGGGAAAAGAAAAGCUAUAUGAGGAUAGAAAUUUAUUUGUCUGUGAAUCCACUGAUAUUCUUUGAUGUAAUUCAUGAAUCCCGACAAGUUCUAAUCGCUUUCACAUUUCCCUCUCUUGCUUGAUUUCUUGAGUUUCUCGAUUUGUUGAAUUAAUUAUUUAUGGUUUUUGAGUAGUUAUAAGAAUUAGGCAAAUGAUGAAUCUGAAAUGGUGUAAAUGGGUUAUUCACAUCUAAAUAUCGUUGAUGUUAAAAUCACCUUGGA